rnacentral:rRNA from 1 species
GAUGAACGCUGGCGGCGUGCCUAAUACAUGCAAGUCGAGCGAACAGAUGAGGAGCUUGCUCCUCUGACGUUAGCGGCGGACGGGUGAGUAACACGUGGAUAACCUACCUAUAAGACUGGGAUAAAUUCGGGAAACCGGAGCUAAUACCGGAUAAUAUAUUUAACCGCAUUGUUCAAUAGUGAAAGACGGUUUUGCUGUCACUUAUAGAUGGAUCCGCGCCGCAUUAGCUAGUUGGUAAGGUAACGGCUUACCAAGGCAACGAUGCGUAGCCGACCUGAGAGGGUGAUCGGCCACACUGGAACUGAGACACGGUCCAGACUCCUACGGGAGGCAGCAGUAGGGAAUCUUCCGCAAUGGGCGAAAGCUUGACGGAGCAACGCCGCGUGAGUGAUGAAGGUCUUCGGAUCGUAAAACUCUGUUAUUAGGGAAGAACAAAUGUGUAAGUAUCUAUGCACGUCUUGACGGUACCUAAUCAGAAAGCCACGGCUAACUACGUG